rnacentral:tRNA from 1 species
GGAUGGAUGUCUGAGUGGUUGAAAGAGUCGGUCUUGAAAACCGAAGUAUUGAUAGGAAUACCGGGGGUUCGAAUCCCUCUCCAUCUA